GAUGAAGAACGCAGCGAAAUGCGAAAAGUAAUGUGAAUUGCAGAAUUCAGUGAAUCAUCGAAUCUUUGAACGCACAUUGCGCCCGCCAGUAUUCUGGCGGGCAUGCCUGUCUGAGCGUCAUUUCAACCCUCAUGCCCCUAGGGCGUGGUGUUGGGGAUCGGCCAGCGCCCGCGAGGGACGGCCGGCCCCUAAAUCUAGUGGCGGACCCGUCGUGGCCUCCCCUGCGAAGUAGUGAUAUUCCGCAUAGGAGAGCGACGAGCCCCUGCCGUUAAACCCCCAACUUUCUAAGGUUGACCUCGGAUCAGGUAGGGAUACCCGCUGAACUUAAGCAUAUCAAUAAGCGGAGGA
rnacentral:misc_RNA from 1 species